rnacentral:rRNA from 1 species
GUGACUGAGUGGCGGACGGGUGAGUAACGCGUGGGUAACCUGCCUCAUACAGGGGGAUAACAGUUGGAAACGGCUACUAAUACCGCAUAAGCGCACAGUACCGCAUGGUACGGUGUGAAAAACUCCGGUGGUAUGAGAUGGACCCGCGUCUGAUUAGGUAGUUGGUGGGGUAACGGCCUACCAAGCCGACGAUCAGUAGCCGACCUGAGAGGGUGACCGGCCACAUUGGGACUGAGACACGGCCCAAACUCCUACGGGAGGCAGCAGUGGGGAAUAUUGCACAAUGGGGGAAACCCUGAUGCAGCGACGCCGCGUGAGCGAUGAAGUAUUUCGGUAUGUAAAGCUCUAUCAGCAGGGAAGAAAAUGACGGUACCUGACUAAGAAGCCCCGGCUAACUACGUGCCAGCAGCCGCGGUAAUACGUAGGGGGCAAGCGUUAUCCGGAUUUACUGGGUGUAAAGGGAGCGUAGACGGCAUGGCAAGCCAGAUGUGAAAGCCCGGGGCUCAACCCCGGGACUGCAUUUGGAACUGUCAGGCUAGAGUGUCGGAGAGGAAAGCGGAAUUCCUAGUGUAGCGGUGAAAUGCGUAGAUAUUAGGAGGAACACCAGUGGCGAAGGCGGCUUUCUGGACGAUGACUGACGU